CAUAUAUAUUGCAUAUAUAUUCAAUUAAUAGCAUGAACUUAACAAGCAAAUCUAUAAUGCAUCUUAAGACAUUAUAAUUUGCGGUUGUUAGGAGCAGUAAUGGUAACCAAAAUGAUAUGCCGACGAUUAAUUAUAGCAGUUAGUGUUUUUGAAACAGAAAUUGAUGCAACGUUAACACACGAAACAGAAAAUAAAUGAGCAUGAUAGUGAAAAGGCACAGAUACAUAUGUAUGGACGACUGCAGCCUUUAAUUUGCUGGUGAUGCCUGCUUCUUCAGUAGUGCAUGUUUAAAGUUGUACACCUAAUGAUUUGCCCUUUAUCUUCCAUGUAGAGAGACAAUUCAGAGAUACACAUAAAGCUUGAACAGUCUCUUUUUCUGAUUUUUUUUCCCAGACAGACAGAGCCAUAUGGACGCUUUUCUGGAAAUCCAAACAACAAUCAUCUAAAAAACCAGGAAAAUAAAUAAAUUAAAGGCCAAAAAUUAUAAUAAAAUAAAUCUUGAGUUCGAUCUUUGUGAUUUGCAGUAUACGUACAAUUCACUUUAAUGACAUGAAACAUGUUUGGCUUUAAAGGAAAAACAUGGAGAGGGCAUGGAGGCUAUCUUCAUCGGAUUGGGUAGCUGCAGGAGACCUUCUUGACCUAGUUACCCUCUGGCAAACCAACCGCAGAGCUCUCCCCCAUCUAUUGCCAAGAGACUGUUCUUGGUUUCUAUUGUCAAAGGUGAUUCGACCCAAUUGAAAGAGGAAAAGUCUGGAUGCGUAUAUCACAUCAGAAUGAGCUCGGCGAACCAGCCCGAGACUGCAGGCGAGUUUUACUACGAAAGGGCAAAGCAGGCUUGUAAGCAAUGGGGAGACAACAGUGUGAGAGGAUGAGAGUGAUAGGAGGUGGAACUUGGCUAGUGCCGUCAAGGGUAAGCCCAUGGUUACUUAUAACUGACGAGAAGUAAGCUGAAAAGAAGCAUCUUAUGGAGUUUUUGAAGGUGAAGGAACGGACAUGAUAGUACUGACACGAAGGUCUCAGUUUUUCUUCAUCGGUUUCUGUGAGUUACAUAUGAGUUCAGUUUCCAUGGCUAAAAUAAAAUAAAAUAAAGAUGCUGUCAUUUGGAAAUUCUUGGCCGUUUUCG
rnacentral:misc_RNA from 1 species